AAACACAUGAAAUUGCCUUUAGUGCAGCUGUGUCUUGAAUAGCAGCAGUUAGAAAAGACUUUCAUAUAAUUAUUAAUGUCUACUCAAUAUGUACCAUCCUGUACACUACUAUAUGGCCAAAGGAAUGCAGCAGCUGCUGGUUCUCCACCUCCCCUUCUAGAAGAACGUGUUUCUACAGACGGCAGAUAGAUUUCUGCGAUGACAGAAAAUUCCAUAUGGCUCUAUUUUGCUGCUAGAAGGCUUGUAUCUGAGGAGUGUGCUAGAGAAUCUCAUCACUAGUCUGCUGAAAACAGGAGUGAAUUAUCACCAGUAACAAUGCAGCGUGAGCAAUGUGUCUCUAUUAUUUUAAUGAUGGAGGAAACGUGUUAUUACAACACAGAUUCAGCAUGGCUUCCUGUCCAAUCAUGUUGGACAACGUGAGAGGGAAAUCACUCGGCCUGCUCUGAGCACAGGAAAAUGGGAAAUGAAAAAGUAGAGGAGCAGAGGACAGGCUGAUAUAGAGUUAAUUUUCAAGAUUAAGGGCAAAUUUAAUGUUGUUUACUUUAAAACAAAUUUCAGUAAGUGAAAAUGCAACGAUUUUUUUUUUUGUAAAGCACUUUUA